CACGUAGGGUGCGAGGGUUGUCCGGAAUUAUUGGGCGUAAAGAGCUCGUAGGCGGUGUGUCGCGUCGGCCGUGAAAACCUGCAGCUUAACUGUGGGCUUGCGGUCGAUACGGGCAUCACUGGAGUUCGGCAGGGGAGACUGGAAUUCCUGGUGUAGCGGUGAAAUGCGCAGAUAUCAGGAGGAACACCGGUGGCGAAGGCGGGUCUCUGGGCCGAUACUGACGCUGAGGAGCGAAAGCGUGGGGAGCGAACAGG
rnacentral:rRNA from 1 species